AGAGUUUGAUCCUGGCUCAGAUUGAACGCUGGCGGCAUGCUUUACACAUGCAAGUCGAACGGCAGCACGGGCUUCGGCCUGGUGGCGAGUGGCGAACGGGUGAGUAAUGCGUCGGAACGCGCCGAGUAGUGGGGGAUAACGCAGCGAAAGCUGUGCUAAUACCGCAUACGUACUGAGGUAGAAAGUGGGGGACCUUCGGGCCUCACGCUAUUCGAACGGCCGACGUCUGAUUAGCUAGUUGGUGGGGUAAAGGCUCACCAAGGCGACGAUCAGUAGCGGGUCUGAGAGGAUGAUCCGCCACACUGGGACUGAGACACGGCCCAGACUCCUACGGGAGGCAGCAGUGGGGAAUUUUGGACAAUGGGCGCAAGCCUGAUCCAGCCAUGCCGCGUGUCUGAAGAAGGCCUUCGGGUUGUA
rnacentral:rRNA from 1 species